UAGGGAAUAUUGGACAAUGGGCGCAAGCCUGAUCCAGCAAUGCCGCGUGAGUGAUGAAGGCCUUAGGGUUGUAAAGCUCUUUCGCACGCGACGAUGAUGACGGUAGCGUGAGAAGAAGCCCCGGCUAACUUCGUGCCAGCAGCCGCGGUAAUACGAAGGGGGCUAGCGUUGUUCGGAAUUACUGGGCGUAAAGGGCGCGUAGGCGGCCUGUUUAGUCAGAAGUGAAAGCCCCGGGCUCAACCUGGGAAUAGCUUUUGAUACUGGCAGGCUUGAGUUCCGGAGAGGAUGGUGGAAUUCCCAGUGUAGAGGUGAAAUUCGUAGAUAUUGGGAAGAACACCGGUGGCGAAGGCGGCCAUCUGGACGGACACUGACGCUGAGGCGCGAAAGCGUGGGGAGCAAACA
rnacentral:rRNA from 1 species